rnacentral:rRNA from 1 species
CCAGUAUUAGAGGCACUGCCUGCCCGGUGACAUCUGUUUUAACGGCCGCGGUAUCCUGACCGUGCAAAGGUAGCAUAAUCACUUGUUCUCUAAAUAGGGACUUGUAUGAAUGGCCACACGAGGGUUUUACUGUCUCUUACUUCUAAUCAGUGAAAUUGACCUUCCCGUGAAGAGGCGGGAAUAAGACAAUAAGACGAGAAGACCCUAUGGAGCUUUAAUUAACUAACUCAAUAGAGCACACUUCAACCCAAAAGGGACUAGCAAACUCUUAAUGAGGUAGUAAUUUAGGUUGGGGUGACCUCGGAAUAUAGAAAAACCUCCGAGUGAUUAAGGCCCAGACCCACCAGUCUAAGCCGUAGUAUCACUUAUUGAUCCAAAAAUUUGAUCAACGGAACAAGUUACCCUAGGGAUAACAGCGCAAUCCUGUUCUAGAGUUCAUAUCGACAACAGGGUUUACGACCUCGAUGUUGGAUCAGGACAUCCCAAUGGUGCAGCAGCUAUUAAAGGUUCGUUUGUUCAACGAUUAAAGUCCUACG